AAACUAAACUAAUCAAGUUUCUAGCAAAAAUCUGUAAUAAUUUUUAAUGCCACUUCCCAAUCAUUGGUUGAUUACCAUAUAAUGGAUUCAUUACAGGCCCAGUUAUGAACUGCCACAUCUGUGGUAGAGUCAGCAAGACUUUAUAGUAAAUAGAUCAAUGCCUAGCUGGACUUAUCAAAAAAUUUUCUGAAGGCAUGGAAUCUGAAUUUCAUCCCUGGCUAUCCUGGAUCAAAUUUGAUUGAUCCAGGAUAGUCAGGAUCAAUAAUUGAAUUAAUUUAUUUUGUGAUUUCAUUACAGAAAUUUCAGGAAACAAUUUUCAACUGAUACAAAAUCAUAUCUUAAAAAAUGCAUUGAAAAUUGGCAUAGCUGCCUUUCAAUUUCAUUUUCUUUUGUAUUAUAUGCUACUUUUCUUCUUGGAUACUAAGUGGCUGAGCAACUCAAUGCUUAUAAUAGGUCACCCAAUCAGGUGGGCAAUCAGGUAAAGUAUGAAAUUGAAUAGGCUUGGGCCAGGCUUAGAUAUCUAAAAGAAGUUUGGAGAUAUGAGACUUGGAUUAAAAUAUAAAUACUCCAUGGUAAAAAACUCUAUUCUUCCAUUUUGGGGCUACUCAGCCAUCUCAUCAAUUAGUUGCCAUUGUUGCAAAAUCACUAAUGGCAGCUGUUGGAGUUUUAUUAUAAAUAAUCAGUGUCAAAAUUUGAAUUGUUAUAAGUCAGGGAUCCUUUGUUUUAUGCUUACAGUCAGUUCUGACUCAUU
rnacentral:lncRNA from 1 species